CAAACGUGAUGAAUUCUUCAAUCAGUUCUGCUUCCGAAAGAGAAACUCUCUUGUGGACAACUCUAUACCAAACUUUUUUCUGAUCU
rnacentral:snoRNA from 1 species